UGCUAAUAAAAAAGGGAUUAGCAAGUGAAUGUCUCUUCCGCUAAAUUUGGAGAGAGAGACAGAGACAAUGGCGUCCACAGGAAUGGCGAAAUCAAAGGGGAGUUUCUACGUCACUCGAUCACACGCCAUGAGAGAGAGAGAGAGAGAAAUCAUUUUUCACCUUUGCGUUUGGAGAUUCAGGAGAAAGAAGAAGAAUCGAUCACGUCCAUGAAAUUUGAACCUCGCCGGUUAGGUGUUCUCUUCUAAGAUUCGUUUUCUCCAAAGGUCUUAACUUUCUUCCCAGAUUCGUCUUUUUGAAUGGUAGCUUAUCAUCAGCUGAAUUGGUAGAAAGAAUCUUGAGGAAUGGGUGAAAACAUAUUGGUGGAUUCUCAUGUUUGGGUGGAGGACCCGGAGACAGCAUGGACUCAUGGGGUUGUGCUUAAUAUCAAGGGAGACGAAGCUGAGGUUAAAACCAAUUAUGGUAAAGAGGUUAUUGCUAAACUAUCAAAACUCUAUCCAAAAGACGCUGAAGCUCCUUCAGAGGGAGUAGAGGAUAUGACAAGAUUAUCUUAUCUCCAUGAACCUGCAGUUCUCGACAACUUGGCCACCAGAUAUGGACUGAAUGAAAUUUAUACUUAUACAGGAAACAUUCUUAUUGCUGUCAAUCCCUUUCAAGGACUCCCUCAUCUUUAUGAUGCUGAGGUUAUGGAGAAGUACAAGGAAGCCUCCUUCAAAGAAUUGAGUCCUCAUGUUUUUGCAAUUGGCGGCAUUGCAUAUAGGGAAAUGAUCAAUGAGGACAGGAAUAAAUGUAUAUUGGUCAGUGGUGAAAGCGGGUCUGGAAAAACGGAAACGACUAAGAUGCUCAUGCGUUACCUUGCGUACUUUGGCGGGCAUACUGCAGGUGAAGGAAGAACCGUUGAAAACCAAGUCUUAGAAUCAAAUCCAGUUCUCGAGGCAUUUGGAAAUGCGAAGACUGUUAAGAACAACAAUUCCAGUCGUUUUGGGAAAUUUGUUGAGAUUCAGUUUGAUGACGUGGGUCGAAUAUCUGGGGCAGCCAUCAGAACCUACCUUUUGGAGAGGUCUCGUGUUUGCCAAGUUUCAGAUCCUGAGCGUAACUAUCACUGCUUUUACCUCCUGUGUGCUGCUCCUCCAGAGGAUGUUGAGAGGUUUAAAUUGGGGGACCCUAAGUCGUUUCGGUAUCUUAAUCAAUCUAGCUGCUACGAACUUGAUGGUGUAAACGAUGCAGAGGAGUAUAUUGCUACUAGAAGAGCUAUGGAUGUAGUUGGAAUAAGUGAAACAGAACAGGAUGCAAUUUUCAGAGUUGUGGCUGCCAUUCUUCAUCUUGGAAAUAUUGAAUUUUGCAAGGGAGAAGAUGCUGAUUCAUCAUCUCUAAAGGAUGAACAGUCAAUGUUUCAUCUCCAAAUGACAUCAGAACUGCUCAUGUGUGAUCCCCAUUCCUUAGAAGAUGCUUUGUGUAAGCGUAUGAUGGUCACCCCAGAAGAAGUUAUUAAAAGAAGUCUUGAUCCUCUUGGUGCUGCCGUAAGUAGGGAUGGCUUAGCAAAAACAAUAUACUCUAGACUCUUUGAUUGGUUGGUAAACAAAAUAAAUAUCUCCAUCGGACAAGAUUCUCACUCUAGGCGCUUGAUCGGAGUCCUUGACAUUUAUGGUUUUGAGAGCUUUAAAACCAACAGCUUUGAACAAUUCUGUAUCAACUACACUAAUGAAAAGCUGCAACAGCAUUUCAACCAGCACGUAUUCAAAAUGGAACAAGGUGAAUAUGAGAAAGAAGAAAUAGAUUGGAGCUAUGUGGAGUUUGUUGAUAACAAAGAUGUCGUGGAUCUGAUUGAAAAGAAGCCCGGUGGUAUCAUUGCUCUUCUAGAUGAAGCAUGCAUGCUACCCAAAUCAACUCCUGAAACAUUUUCUGAGAAGCUGUAUCAAACAUUCAAGAAUCAUAAGCGCUUCAUAAAACCAAAACUGACUCGAUCAGAUUUUACUUUAGUUCAUUAUGCAGGGGAGGUUCAGUACCAGUCCGAUCAAUUUUUGGACAAAAACAAAGACUAUGUUGUUGCCGAGCAUCAGGAUUUGUUAAAUGCUUCCAAAUGUUCUUUUGUGUCAGGCCUUUUUCCUCCUCUUCCUAAAGCGAGUAGCAAAUCUAAGUUUUCCUCCAUUGGCGCUCGUUUCAAGCUACAAUUGCAACAGCUGAUGGAGACACUGAAUCUUACGGAACCGCACUACAUCAGAUGUGUUAAGCCAAACAAUUUGUUGCAGCCGACAGUCUUUGACAAUGCCAAUGUCUUGCAUCAGUUACGCUCUGGGGGUGUUCUUGAGGCCAUCAGAGUGAAAUGCGCUGGAUAUCCAACAAAUAGGACUUUCAUUGAAUUCUUAAAACGGUUUAUCAUUCUUGCACCGGAGAUUCUGAAAGGAGAGUAUGAAGCAGGUGUUGCAUGCAAGUGGAUUUUGGACAAAAAGGGGCUUACAGGUUUCCAAAUUGGAAAAAGUAAAGUUUUCCUGAGAGCUGGUCAGAUGGCUGAGCUAGAUGCACACAGAACAAAAGUGCUUGGCGAAGCAGCGAAGAUGAUUCAAGGGCAAGUUAGAACCCGUCUCACAAGAGAACGAUAUGUAAUCUUGCGGAGGGCUUCAGUUAAUAUACAAGCUAAUUGGAGAGCAAACCUUGCACGAAAGAUAUCAAGGUACAUGAGAAGGGAGGAAGCUGCCAUCAAAAUUCAGAAAAACUUACGUAGACAGAUUGCAAUUAAAGAUUAUGGGAAUACCAAAUCUUCGGCUGUCACACUGCAAAGUGGACUCCGGACAAUGGUUGCACGCCAUGAGUUCCACUAUAAAUUGAAGUCUAAGGCAGCGACUGUGAUCCAGGCUUACUGGCGUGGUUACAGUGCUGUAACUGACUACAAGAAAUUGAAAAAAGCUUCUCUUGUUUAUCAAAGUAAACUCAGAGGAAGAAUUGCCAGAAAACAGUUGGGACAGUCAAAUCAGGCUGAGAAAAAGAAAGAGACAGAACAUGAAAGAGAGGUGGAACUUUCCAAUGGAGCAGAAGAGGCAGUUGAUAAGUCCUUUGUAAAGCAUUCAGAUGAAAGUGAUGAUGAAGAGGUGGGACAUGAAAGAGAGACAACACAUUCAAUCCAAGCUGAUGAUGGAAUUGAAAAAUCAUUGGUAAAGCAUUCAGAGGACAGUGAUGAUGAGGAGAUAGGACGUGAAAGAGACACAACACAUUCCAUCCAAGCCGAUGAUGGCAUUGAAAAAUCCGUUGUAAUGCAAUCAGAGCAUAGUAGUGAUGAAGAGAAAGGACAGACAGAACAUACCAUCCAAGCAAAUGAUGGAAUUGAAAACCCCUUUGUUCUCGAUUCAGAGAACCUUUACAACAACUUCUCUGAUGUAAGCCAUAUAACGAACCCUUUUCGUGAUACAGAAAUUGAGUCCCUCACUGCUGAAGUUGAGAUGUUGAAGGCCUUGUUGCAAGUUGAGAAACAAAGAGCUGACAUCUCCGAAAGAAAGUGUGAUGAAGCUCGAGAACUUGGUGAGAGAAGACGCAAACGAUUAGAAGAAACAGAAAGAAGAGUUUACCAACUACAAGACUCUUUAAACAGUGUAUUCCAGGUUGUUAUAUUCUAUGUCAGACCAAUUCUCGCAAUUGAAGUCCAUCCUGAGAUCUCCUUCUAUGUCUUCAACGGUGGCUGCUUCAGCGCCAGUUGUACGUGAUGAUCUUGCUGACAGCUCUGAGAACUCUGAAGCUUCAUCAACUGAUUCUGAUUUCACUUUUCCAGCUCCAUCUUCUUCUUCUCCAGAUAAUCCAAAUCAGCUGCAGGUUAUUGUUCAAGAUCUAUCAACCACAGAGGCCAAAGGUCAGUGAACAAUAAAUAUUGCAGGAACGGAGAUUAAGAAGGAAGGGGGAUUUGAAGAUUACUUUUGAUGAUGAAACGCCGUUUUUGAUAUCUUCACCAGAUGUUUUUGGAGUGCUGCUAAUCUCUUUACUCGAUUGUUGACCCAAAGGGCAAUUGUUUUAGUGUUUACAAUUAGUACAGACUCCAGUUACAGUUUUCUCAUAAUUAGAUGCUGCAAUAACUGUUUAGAUAUUAGGUUCUGUGUUUAAUACAUACAAAAGCCAUAUUUGUUUCUUCAACUAAUACAAUUGCUACUUAAUUCUAGAAUUAUUCAUUUGCUUU